GGGUUGUGAGGUUAAGUGACUAAGCGUACACGGUGGAUGCCUAGGCAGUCAGAGGCGAUGAAGGGCGUGCUAAUCUGCGAAAAGCGUCGGUAAGGUGAU
rnacentral:rRNA from 1 species